rnacentral:rRNA from 1 species
GACGAACGCUGGCGGCGUGCUUAACACAUGCAAGUCGAACGAAGUGGCGAACGGGUGAGUAAUACGUGAGUAACCUGCCCUCCUUUUUGGGAUAAGCCUUGGAAACGGGGUCUAAUACCGAAUAAAGGGGGAUGGGCUCGCGGCCUAUCAGCUUGUUGGUGGGGUGAUGGCCUACCAAGGCGGUGACGGGUAGCCGGCCUGAGAGGGUGACCGGCCACAUUGGGACUGAGAUACUGCCCAGACUCCUACGGGCGGCAGCAGUGGGGGAUAUGGCACAAUGGGCGAAAGGCUGAAUCAGCGAAGCCGCGGGAGUGGAGGAGGUUUUCGGGUCGUAAAGCUCUGUUGUUAAGGAAGGAGGACUUAACCAGAAAGGGACGGCUAACUACGUGCCAGCAGCCGCGGUAAUUC